GACGAACGCUGGCGGCGUGCUUAACACAUGCAAGUCGAACGGAAGGGCCCUGCUUUUGUGGGUUGCUCGAGUGGCGAACGGGUGAGUAACACGUGAGUAUCCUGCCCUUGACUUUGGGAUAACUUCAGGAAACUGGGGCUAAUACCGGAUAUGAGCUCCUGCUGCAUGGUGUGGGUUGGAAAGUUUCGGCGGUUGGGGCUGGGCUCGCUGCUUAUCAGCUUGUUUGUGUGGUAGUGACUUACCAAGGCUUUGACGGGUAGCCGGCCUGAGAGGGUUAACGGGCACAAUAGGACUGAGAUAGGGGCCAGAAUCCUACGGGAGGCAGCAGUGGAGAAUAUUGCAGAAUGGGGGGAAGCGUGAUGCAGAGACGCCGCGUGCGGGAUGACGGCCUACGGGGUGUAAACCGCUUUCGCCUGUGACGAAGCGGGAGUGACGGUAAUGGGUAAAGAAGCAACGGCUAACUACGUG
rnacentral:rRNA from 1 species